UCUGCAUUCCUUGGCCUGGCACCCAGGCCCUAGAACUUUGACUCGGGAGCUCAGACAGGCAUCAGACUCUCUUCUCUCUUUGGAAGCAUCCGGUCAGAUGUCUUUUCAGGUCUUGUUCUGAGCUCCAUAUGGACAGCUAUGCCCCGCCAGGAUCCAUUGUGGCGGGCUAGGACUUGAAAGAAUGUGAGGACAGGUAGAGGCUUCUGACUGUAGGAUUCUCGGGCGUCCAUCUUUGCAUUCAUCUUGGAAUAAAUGAUUCAGUUAGCAUCUUCUUCCUCCAGGGUUCUCUGAGCCUCAUCAGCUCACCAUCGGUCUCAGCUCAGUCAUGUCAUUUUGCAUUCUCUCAGUCCCUGCAGCCAUUUUCCUUGCCAAGUGUUUUUCUCUCCGUGUCUCGUGUCCUUUGUUUGUCACGUCCUGUCCGUCCUGGGUCACGGGUGUUUGCACACAUAUCUGUGCCGGAGCUGCUCUGCCCUGCCGCAUAGCCUGGUGCAAUAGGAGAAGUCCCGGGGACUUGAAGUUUGUAAUGUGGGGUGUAAUUGGACUCUAGAUGGGAUUUGUAGAUGGACACAGGAUAUCUGGAGCUCUUAAGUUAUCCUGCAACGCUUUGACUCUUGUCCUAACUUUCUUUCAGAUGCAGAUGGAUUAAAUCUGUGCCAGAGGGCCCCAUCCCAGGUGAGGGGUUUCCCCCGAGCAGGAAGUAAAUCUGGAUACCAGCAGUCAAGGCAAUCCACUCGGAGUAUGCCAAGCCCCCGUCACCAACCGGCCGACGCGCCGAGUUUCCUGCUCUCGUGAGCCCCGUGGAUGUAUUACAGGACCUGAUGAUGAAGCCCUGAACUUUUCUAUUUAAAGGUGCCAUCCAGGUGGCCUUUGGCAACUGCCAAGGAGUCGGGGCACCCCCUGUGACGAAGGCCUCGGUCUCGAAGCGUGUGAGCCCAGGCAGCUGGGCAUUCCUAGGAGCAUGCUGUCUAAGAGACCAGAGCCCGGUGACAGCAGGACCUUCCCGGCUGACGAGGUGGCCUUUCUUUCGCACCUGAGACCGGCAUCCCCAGAUGUCUGAGAGAUAAGUAGAGGGCUACGGCCCACAGAGGGGAUUAAAGCAGGGUGCUGGUUUGGGAAUUACCGGGAGGGGUUUUUGAGUCCGUUUGGAGGUGGGGGGUGUUCAUGAGGUGGCCCCUUAGGCCCCAUAAAAGCGAAGUCUCACUUGUGAUCACAGCGCUGAUGUGCGCAGGGCAGAGCAGUCCCGGUGUGUCUGGUGUCACUUGUCUAUUGUGCCUUAUGUGUUGUUUGUGUAUCUCAUGUCUUUUACCUCAGCCCCCUGAGGGGCCUGUCAGGAACCUCGGCAUCAUUCUUAGCAUCUGCGAUCUCUGCAUUCCUUGGCCUGGCACCCAGGCCCUAGAACUUUUGACUCGGGAGCUCAGACAGGCAUCAGACUCUCUUCUCUCUUUGGAAGCAUCCGGUCAGAUGUCUUUUCAGGUCUUGUUCUGAGCUGUACGGACAGCUAUGCCCCGCCAGCAUCCAUUGUGGCGGGCUAGGACUUGAAAGAAUGUGAGGACAGGUAGAGGCUUCUGACUGUAGGAUUCUCGGGCGUCCAUCUUUGCAUCCAUCUUGGAAUAAAUGAUUCAGUUAGCAUCUUCUUCCUCCAGGGUUCUCUGAGCCUCAUCAGCUCACCAUCGGUCUCAGCUCAGUCAUCUCAUUUUGCAUUCUCUCAGUCCCUGCAGCCAUUUUCCUUGCCAAGUGUUUUUCUCUCCGUGUCUCGUGUCCUUUGUUUUGUCACGUCCUGUCUGUCCUGGGUCACGGGUGUUUGCACAUAUCUGUGCCGGAGCUGCUCUGCCCUGCCGCACAGCCUGGUGCAAUAGGAGAAGUCCCGGGGACUUGAAGUUUGUAAUGUGGGGUGUAGUUGGACUCUAGAUGGGGUUUGUAGAUGGACACAGGAUAUCUGGAGCUCUUAAGUUAUCCUGCAACGGUUUGACUCUUGUCCUAACUUUCUUUCAGAUGCAGAUGGAUUAAAUCUGUGCCAGAGGGCCCCAUCCCGGAUGAGGGGUUUCCCCCGAGCAGGAAGUAAAUCUGGAUACCAGCAGUCAAGGCAAUCCACUCGGAGUAUGCCAAGCCGCCGUCACCAACCGGCCGACGCGCCGAGUUUCCUGCUCUCGUGAGCCCCGUGGAUGUAUUACAGGACCUGGUGGUGAAGCCCUGAACUUUUCUAUUUAAAGGUGCCAUCCAGGUGGCCUUUGGCAACUGCCAAGGAGUCGGGGUGAGUCGGGGAAGUAGGGAGGAGGAGCGAGGGUCCACUCAGGUUUCAGCCAUGAGAAAUCACCUCAUCUCCUCUUUACCCAGGCACC